GUGCGUCUGUUUGGGGAGCUCACCGGAGAGCCGGGGCCGUCACGUGGGCGCGCUGACUCCGCCGGCUGCCGGGGACAGCCUGUACUACAGCCCCGGCCACUAAAUCAGACCACGCCGCCAGACCUUUUGCAGCCCGCGGCCGGCCGGCCGCCUUCUCCGACCUCCUCGCCAUAGCCGCCGGGCCAUGCGCGUCCCGGGACGGCAGGGGGCGCGGGUGAGGCCGCGGGCAGGUGGAUGGAUGGGUGGGGAGUGGGCCGCCCUGAGCCCGGGAAGAGGAAAAAUGCUCGAGGAAAAACACAGGCGCCCACCCCCCCGCUACGUCCGGCAACCUCCUGGCAAGCCUUCCUUCCGCCCUGUUUGAAGAUUUUUUUUUUUAUUCCUAAAAUUGCUUUUCCAUGCAGAGACCCCUCUUCCAGCCACUGGAAAAUUAUUUUCACAUAGUUGCUAUGUCCCGCUUUUCUUGCUUUCGCGAUCCCUCCAGCCCCCCCGCGCGCGUGUCCACGCAGGCACAGACACACCGGUGCCUGCCUCCUCCCAUUCCAAAUGCAAACCCACUUCCUUUUGCCGGUUGCUGUAGUUAAGCUAAGUCAAUGCUACAUCAAACUAGGCUAGGCUGAGAGGACUGGAAAGUGGAUUUAGGGGACAAUACUGCCCCAGCAGGAAGAAAGGCUCUAGUUUGGCGUUCUGUUGAUUUAACAGUUUAAAACGAAAAUGGAUUUUGUAGCUUCUGCACUAAAACUCAGGCCCCUUGAGUCACAAUUAUUUAAAGGGAGCUAUUCUCUAAAGUCCAUUAUAUGAUAUAAAAAUGUAAACGGAUAUAAUGUCGUCUUUCUCUCUCUCCUCACAAAAUGGUAUUUUAGAACCAAAUCUUUCAGUCUUAAUAAUUGGGUGGCUGAAAGGUGUGUUUUUUUUUUUUCUGCAAGAAGACAUUCUUUACUUGCUUCCCCUUACUCUUUAUACAGAUAUUUAUAGAAAGUAAAAUUUAAAUAAAAACCAGCAUAUCUGUGUAAGAUGCUCUUAAAAGUAUUUGAAUCCUUGCAGGAAGACUUGAAACAACCUCUUAAAGGCAGUUUAUAUUGUUUUCUUUCUGAAUCCCGUUUCCAAAUGCUGCCUAUUUUUAUUCAAACCAAUUGUGUUUUUCCAAGAGUUCACACUUCCACUUGUAAAUUCCCCACUGGAGGUCGAAAUCCUCUGUGAAAUAAACAUUUCCACAGCAACCCAGUGAUGUCAGAAACGUCGGCUAGUGAUUUCAGAGGGGAAAUAAAACAGGAGCAAAGAAUGGCUCUAGAAAGACAGUUCCUUCAUCCUUGCGAAUAGCAUGCCUCCUGGUAGAAAUUCAGAAAACAUUUCUGGCUAAAUACCUGUUUUCUUUUUCUGAGAUUGACUUAUUUUUCAAAGGCAUGUCAAAUGAUCUUUAAAAAAAAAAUAGGUCACCAUCCUCUUUUCUGGAUUGGUGAAGAAUGCUGUUUCAAAUCAGUGGUGCCUAACCACACUGGCCACUGUAGAUUUUUAUAAGGGGGGGAUAUAUUUUUUCUAAAAAUUGAUGUUGGAGAGAACAUUGAAAGAUGAAAUUUUACGUACUAACUUCAGGCCCAAAUAAUGCUGACUGACCUGGCUUCAAACUUACAAUAGUUUUUUUAAAGUAUUAGGCACACAGAAGUUCUAUUCAGUUAUCGAAAUUGGUGCUGAUCUCACCAAUAUUGAAUAAAGGGGCUUCUCCAUUGUUCCCUCUAUUGUUUCCUGUGUCUCCUGGCUGAGAAAAAGAAGGGAGGAAUUCUUCAUACUGCCCCUAAUUCAAUCCCCUUGCAGUCCCACCCCUAUAAACAUUAAAUGUAAAGAGACCAGAAAAUAUUAAAUUAGGCCCAAUGCCUGUGUUUUCUUAGGCUUCCUAUCUAAAUAACAUUUAUACAGAGCAUUAUAGAAAUGUCCACUUUGUAAACUGCUUUUCAUACAUACGUUAGCCCAAGUUAACAUUCUGUUCCUGCAGCCACUCACUGAUUCCCUGAUUUUAGCUCAGGUCCCACAUUCACACCAAUGGAAGUUCAUUCUGUCUGUGUUAUCCCAUCAUCUAUUUGUUGGAUAAAUGGAUUCAUUUCUCACAACAAUUUUGGGAGAAUCAGGACUCUUUAUCUCCAUUUUACAGAUGUGGAAAGAGGCUCAGAGAUGCUAAAUAACCUAACCCAGGUCCUGCAGCUACAAAGUGAUAGAAAUUGAACCUAAACUUUGUGACCCCACCUACCUCUUUCUUCCAGAUCUAACUGAGCCCAUCACAGGCCUGCUCUUCUAUGAACAUUUCCCCCCUGCAUACCAGAUGGAGGAUGUGCAGGGGACCCCAGGUGACCGGAUGAGAGCUCUGCCUCUCCAGAGCCAUAGAGAUUUUCACCAGAGCCAUAGAGAGGCGUGCUCUCUCUGCUGGGAGAGCAAGGCUGGGAGAAUGUGUAAGCCUGGCGCUCUUCCAGGCCAUUUGACUCCCACCGGAAUGAACCCAGCUGCUUAAGAAUGAAGCCAGCUCAGAAGGAAAGAGAGCCUGAGAGGAAGCACUGCAGAUUCCUGACUUAGAUCCUUUGAGUAACUGGAUCCAGCCCAACCUGAAGCUAGACACCUCCCUGGACUUUCUAAGUGUGUAAGCCAAUAAACGUCUCCUCAUUAUAAGCCAGUCUGAGGCUGAUUUAUAGAAGUUAAGCAUUUUGGCCAAGAUCGCACAUCUAACAAGUGUGGAGUAAUAUUCAGAUCCAUACAACCCUAAUUCCAUAUGUGCUAGGGUUCUUAACCACCAUGCUGUACAGUGGCAAAUAGCAUCUAUGGCUGGACAGAGCUCAGAGCCACAUCCUUUCAUUGCCUGGCCCUCACUGGGAGUCUCUUCCCUUCCAGAAGCAGCUGCCAAUUUGUUUAACAGAGUAAUUGAUCAGGGUACAUCUUGAUUUUCUUUGUUUGUUUGUUUUUGACUCUCAUGGAGGCAAACAUCUCAGCUGUAUUUGAAUUGUUUGUUGCAUCAAAUCAUUAAAUGUCUGGACAUGUCUCGAUCACUUGGUGAAAGGCUGGAGUGGAGGUGAGAGAAAGUGUAAAAAGAAAAUAG
rnacentral:lncRNA from 10 species